CUUUGCAGUACUGAAUCUUUCCUCCAUUACUUCAGUGCAGGAAAAAGCAAGCAAAAAAAAAAAAGCCAACUUAGCUGGAGUGACUUCUGUGUACAAUACCAGACACCAAUAUUUCUCAAGCCAUUUCCAACAGCCAGAGAUGUCUAGAAUGUAGAGGCAAUGUCACAAGGCACCUAACCCUGAGCUGCAUAGGGUACAUCAUAAAGUAUUGCCAACAUCUUUUUUUGCCUAAAAGAAAAUGAAAAACAAAAAAGGAAGCUUUCAUCCAAUGAAAACAAUACAUUGAUGAAGGACUAAAAGUUGGCCCUACCCUAAGUAGGAGUAAAAGCCAUGUGUAUAUUUACUAGUGGACUAAUCUCUGAACAGCACCUGGGAUUGAGGAAUGAUUUCGUCCUAGACUUUUUAUUAGAAGUCUGGCCAAAGAAGUCACACUGUGCCUGUUUGGUGCCCUGAUAUUACAAAGAUCUUCAGUCUACAAAUGGACUUCUGUAGGGUAUACUUCAGUAACUUCCCCAGUUUUGAGGUGAGUCUAAUUGGUCUGUAGUUUCCCUGGUCCUUCUUUUUGCCUUUUUUAAAGAAGGGCACUUAACAUCGGUCCUUUUCCAGUUCUCUGAUACCUCACCAAACAACAGAGAACCAAGGUCUUUU
rnacentral:lncRNA from 1 species